rnacentral:rRNA from 1 species
ACCAGACGAUGCGGGAUCGAAGAUGAUUAGAUACCAUCGUAGUCUCAACCAUAAACUAUGCCGACUUGGGAUUGGAAGGUGUGAAUUUUUAAUAACCCUUUCAGGACCACAUGAGAAAUCAAAGUCUUUGGGUUCCGGGGGGAGUAUGGUCGCAAGGCUGAAACUUAAAGGAAUUGACGGAAGGGCACACCAGAAGUGGAGCCUGCGGCUUAAUUUGACUCAACACGGGGAAACUUACCAGGUCCAGACAUAGUAAGGAUUGACAGAUUGAGAGCUCUUUCUUGAUUCUAUGGGUGGUGGUGCAUGGCCGUUCUUAGUUGGUGGAGUGAUUUGUCUGGUUGAUUCCGUUAACGAACGAGACCUCGGCUUGCUUUAUAGUGCUGCAAAUGGCAUUCAUUUGUAUUGGCACUUCAAAGAGGGACAUUUCGGUUUUACCGGAAGGAAGUUCGUG